UGGGGAAUAUUGCACAAUGGGCGCAAGCCUGAUGCAGCCAUGCCGCGUGUAUGAAGAAGGCCUUCGGGUUGUAAAGUACUUUCAGUCGGGAGGAAGGUGGUAAGGUUAAUAACCUUAUCAAUUGACGUUACCGACAGAAGAAGCACCGGCUAACUCCGUGCCAGCAGCCGCGGUAAUACGGAGGGUGCAAGCGUUAAUCGGAAUUACUGGGCGUAAAGCGCACGCAGGCGGUUGAUUGAGUCAGAUGUGAAAUCCCCGGGCUUAACCCGAGAAUUGCAUCUGAUACUGGUCAGCUAGAGUCUUGUAGAGGGGUGUAGAAUUCCAUGUGUAGCGGUGAAAUGCGGAGAUGUGGAGGAAUACCGGUGGCGAAGGCGGCCCCCUGGACAAAGACUGACGCUCAGGUGCGAAAGCGUGGGGAGCAAACAGG
rnacentral:rRNA from 1 species